UGAAGUGUUUGGAUCACGGCAACGUCGUGAGAAGUCCACUGAACCUUAUCAUUUAGAGGAAGGAGAAGUCGUAACAAGGUUUUMAUAGGUGAACCUGCGAAAGGAUCGUUGUCGAUGGCCAAACGAGGGUAGACCCGCGAAUCACGUGACUCGAAAGGAAGGGGAGGACGCCACAGGAGCAAGGUUGAGCUGACGUUCCCUCCCGCUGCGACAUCGGCACGAUGCCGGGCACGACGAACGGAGUGACACACCCAUCGACGCGAGUUAUGCCAAGGAUCCCAAGAGGAGCGGGGUAGGAGGACGAGCGCAAGGACWGCCCCUCCGUCGCGCAAGGGAACAUCCAAUGGAUGACUCUCGGCAACGGAUAUCUCGGCUCUUGCAUCGAUGGAAAACGUAGUUAAAUGCGAUACUUGGUGUGAAUUGCAGAAUCCCUGAACCAUCGAGUCUUUGAACGCAAGUUGCGCCCGAGGCCACCCGGCCGAGGGCAUGCCUGCCUGGGCGUCACGCAACGCGCUGCCCGCACCCAGUUGGGGUGGCGGGUGGAGAUUGGCCAACCAUGCGCCCGGUGSGCGUAACUGCUUGAAAGCCAUGAUGCACACAGUGCCCCCGGAGGGGCGUCGGCKGGUCCCUCAAGAGGGCUCUCGAUCGAACGCCGCGAGCACCACCCGCUCCGAGGGGACGUAGGCACCCCCCAUGACUGCGUUCGCGACCCCAGGUCAGGCGGGGCCACCCACCGAGUUUAAGCAUAUAAAUAAGCGAAGG
rnacentral:sRNA from 1 species